AAAGGUCAAGAGAAGAAUUAAAUAAUGAAAUGUUGUAAUGAUACUUUAAAUCCACUAAAAACCCAGGGGCCAAAAUUAGCUAGAUUCACCUGUGAACACUUGGAAAUCAAAAGCCUCUAUCUUAGAUUGAACUCCCCAUGUCGAAAGCAGGCUGAGAAGCCAAAAAGCUUGGGCUUUCUUCUAUCCAAAAUUUAUCCUUUUG
rnacentral:lncRNA from 1 species